CCUACGGGUGGCAGCAGUGGGGAAUAUUGCACAAUGGGGGAAACCCUGAUGCAGCGACGCCGCGUGAGUGAAGAAGUAUUUCGGUAUGUAAAGCUCUAUCAGCAGGGAAGAAGAAAGACGGUACCUGACUAAGAAGCCCCGGCUAACUACGUGCCAGCAGCCGCGGUAAUACGUAGGGGGCAAGCGUUAUCCGGAUUUACUGGGUGUAAAGGGAGCGUAGACGGCUGUGCAAGUCUGAAGUGAAAGCCCAGGGCUCAACCCUGGGACUGCUUUGGAAACUGUGGAGCUAGAGUGCUGGAGAGGUAAGUGGAAUUCCUAGUGUAGCGGUGAAAUGCGUAGAUAUCAGGAGGAACACCGGUGGCGAAGGCGGCUUACUAGACCAUAACUGACGUUGAGGCUCAAAAGCGUGGGGAGCGAACAGGAUUAGAUACCCGAGUAGUC
rnacentral:rRNA from 1 species